rnacentral:tRNA from 1 species
GGCUCAGUGGUCUUGUGGUAUGAUUCUCGCUUCGGGUGCAAAGGCCACGGGUUCCAUUCCCGUCUGAGCCC